UGCAGUCGAACGCGRCUURGKMKUCRRUCYARYUGAGUGGCRAACGGGUGAGUAACACGUGGGUGACCUACCUUCGAGUGGGGGAUAACGUCCCGAAAGGGACGCUAAUACCGCAURACAUCCUGCCUUUGAACAGGCGGWGAUCAAAGCCGGGGAUCGCAAGACCUGGCGCUUGAUGAGGGGCCCGCGUCUGAUUAGCUAGUUGGUGAGGUAACGGCYCACCAAGGCGACGAUCAGUAUCCGGCCUGAGAGGGCGGACGGACACACUGGGACUGAGACACGGCCCAGACUCCUACGGGAGGCAGCAGUGGGGAAUUGUUCRCAAUGGGCGCAAGCCUGAYGACGCAACGCCGCGUGGAGGAUGAAGGUCUUCGGAUUGUAAACUCCUGUUGCUCGGGACGAAAAGCYUCGACCUAAYACGUCGARGUCUGACGGUACCGAGUGAGGAAGCCCCGGCUAACUCUGUGCCAGCAGCCGCGGUAAUACAGAGGGGGCAAGCGUUGUUCGGAAUUACUGGGCGUAAAGGGCGCGUAGGCGGCCUGCUAAGUCGAACGUGAAAUCCCYGAGCUCAACYCRGGAACUGCGUCCGAUGCUGRYWGGCUUGAAUCCGGGAGAGGGAUGYGGAAUUCCAGGUGUAGCGGUGAAAUGCGUAKAUAUCUGAGGAACACCGGUGGCGAAGGCGACAUCCUGGACCGUAUUGACGCUGAGCGCGAAGCCAGGGACAAACGGAUUAGAUACCCGGUAGUCCUGNCNUAACGAUAAUGCUUGUGUGC
rnacentral:rRNA from 1 species